rnacentral:rRNA from 1 species
AGAGUUUGAUCCUGGCUCAGGACGAACGCUGGCGGCGCGCCUAACACAUGCAAGUCGAACGGAGGUAUUAAGACGGAAGCUUCGGCAGAAGACUUAAUACUUUAGUGGCGAACGGGUGAGUAACACGUGAGGAACCUGCCUUUAAGAGGGGGAUAACACUUAGAAAUAGGUGCUAAUACCGCAUAAGACCACAGAGCGGCAUCGCUCAGGGGUCAAAGGAGGAAUCCGCUUAAAGAUGGCCUCGCGUCCGAUUAGGUAGUAGGCGGAGCAACGGCCCACCUAGCCGACGAUCGGUAGCCGGACUGAGAGGUUGAACGGCCACAUUGGGACUGAGACACGGCCCAGACUCCUACGGGAGGCAGCAGUGGGGAAUAUUGGGCAAUGGGGGAAACCCUGACCCAGCGACGCCGCGUGAGGGAAGAAGGUUUUCGGAUUGUAAACCUCUGUCUUCGGGGAUGAUAGUGACAGUACCCGAGGAGGAAGCCACGGCUAACUACGUGCC